ACAACACACGUGACGGACGUGACUAAACCUCAUUGGUUCUUGGGAUUCAUUACGUCACAUUGGCUUCCUGAUGAUUCUGUUGUUCGAUACACAACGUGCGUGAUCGUUGGUAAAUGUGGAUUAAAAGUUGAAACUAAAACUGUUAAAUUAUAGUGAUCAUCAGAGGACUUGGCUGAAACAACGCGAUUCACAUGGAUUACUUCCGCGAUGUUUUUAUUGUUGUUGCGAUUAACUUUUGGAAAUGUGAGCAGUUUUUAUGUAUCAAGUGGAUCUGACAUCGAGGGGAAAUAUACGUUUCUUGGAUUUCAUUAAAGUACAUCGUUUUUUGUUUGAAGAUGAAUGAGAGAACAUGAGGGUAAGUUAAGUGAUGACAGAUUUUUGCUUUUUUAUUUUUAGUGAACUAUUAAAUAAGUAGAACAUUUAGUAUAACAGUAUGUCUUAAUUUUAACCCAGCUUCUUCAAGCGUGUAUGUUGUGUGGCUUUUGGAACAUAACGUUACAUUUUUUGUGAGUAAAGUUAGGCAUUUAAUUUCUCUUGUUGUAUUUCAGAAAUCAUAACAUCCUGUCUUUUUUAGCACAGCGGCAUUCAAAUUGACCAAUCAGAGCCGAGAAUAUCUAAUAAGUCGAAGUAGAGAUGAACAGAUGAAGAUACAGCCCAUAAAAAUACUUAUUCUUGGUGAGUGCCAUGUAGCGACGGAUCAAACGGACACUCAUGUCAAGCUUGAUGAGGACACAGUCAAAGCUUUAAAAGACCUUGUGAUUAAGUCUUCAGUGUCUGAAUGGCUAGAAGAAGUGACCCUCCACUUAAACGUGACAUUUAAACUGCUCUGUGUUUUGGUUCAGCCAUUUGCAGGUUUAUCUCGAGUUAGUUCAAAUGCACUUCUGCAUUUGUCCAGUAACUUUUUGUUUAGAGAAUUACAUCAUUAUGAUUAUAUAAUUAUUCAAUGGUUGCAUAUUCAUAGUGUACUUUUCAUAUUGAUGUAUUAAUGUUCCACAAUUUGAUAAAAGUAGCUCAUUGCAUUUCACUGAUCUUUGUUUUAUAUUGUAAAAUCAUUUCAAUAGCAGUAAAUACAUACUUAGUUGUUUCUUUAACAUUUAAUUAGUUGUUAAUGAUAGAAGAAACCGGUUCGUAUGUAUGAAUACAGAAUAGGUAUCAUUUUAGAAUGAGUUAAAACAUGUUUUGGUGGAAAACAUGCAGGUAAAAUAGUACAUAUAUAACAUUCUAAUAGUAUACUUGACUCUAAUUAAAAUGUCAACAAGAAGUACAUUAGAAAUGAUUUAUUUUAUGUAUACAAAUGU